rnacentral:tRNA from 1 species
GAGCCCGUAGCUCAGUUGGAUAGAGCGCUAGCCUUCUAAGUUAGAGGUCGGGGGUUCGAAUCCCCCUGGGCUCG